rnacentral:snoRNA from 1 species
GGUGCAUAUGAUGGUAAUAGCGAUCAAAGUAUGAAAAAGCAUGAUUCCAGCUUAAAUUCACUGAUGCACC